AGAAGAUGAGGUGCCAAGAACUGCCCAGCCUCUGACUAUAGGGUACUAUACCCUCCUGUGUGUGUUGCUCACUCUUUGAACCUUAGAUCGCCACUCUGAUCUUUCCUUUCUACAUGGUUGCAAGUCUCCAGUUGGGAGAAAAAUGCCGACAUCCUCCCCCACUCUCCAGGUAUAUUUGAACUUUUAUUUUGACUCUGAGAUCUAGGACACAACAGAACUCGGUCAACAGCAAUAAUCCACUCAGUACUAUGGGAUGGAUGGGUUAGAGGAUGAGACACUGAGACUGACACAGUUCAACCAGCUCCUGGACACUUGACCUGCCUCCUGUAGCUGUGCCCUGGACAGGUUGACAUUUCUGUGUAUGUUACAAGAAAAAGUUCUGCAUGUGGUGGAGUAGUCUGCCUGGGGCUGUGGGAUGUGCUGUUGUUAUGGAUUUGGAGUGGAUGGGUGAUACGGAUGCUGGUUAUCCUUCUGUAGCUCAUUGCGGUGAGCGCGAUGACAGGGAGCACGGGGAUGAUCUGUGUAGCAUAGGCAUGCGACCUUUGAUCAAGCUCUUACCCCCGCACUGUAAUGUGCUGAAAUGUCUUUGUAGACCUGAAGGUGCACUUAACUAAACUGCCUACUAUGGAAUGACUCAUCAUCUGGUCCACUUCACACCCCUGUCCCCAGGUUUUGCCCUUUCAACCCCUUCCUAGGUAUUGAGCCUUGAUAGCUCAUGCCCAGAUGCUUACCCGUUUUCUCUGGAAGGAGAAGACUUACGAUACACUAAUAGCCAUAGCCCAUCUCUUCCAACAUGUAGGGCCCUAGUUCCAUAGGGUGCCCUUGGAAGACAUCAGGUCAUCCUGUGGCUGUUAGCCAUCCCAGAAUCUCUGAAGUGCUUAACUCACUUCAAGUGAUCUGAAUCAGAGAGACCAAAGAUAUUAAUUUUCUCUGUCCUCAGAUUUCUAGAAGACAGACUAUGGCCAGGAAAGGGUUCGUUUUGGUUUGGGCUUUCUCUCUCCCUUCUCCAUCUGUCCACAUCCCUACCUCACUCCCCCUUGAGACCUAAAUUCUGAAGCUCAAUGACCUCUGUUCACUGGAAGUGCAGAUAAGUCCAGAGCACCAGGUCCAACAUUUCUCCCACACUGUAGUCAAUGGACAGUCUUUUUCUCUAACACGAAACUCUGUUGUGGGUUUAGAUUCCACUGAGGUGGAACCGGGGUUGACACAGCCUUGAUCUUCUCGAAACUAGAACAGAGUAAGAGUGGUGGCUAAGAAAUAAAUUUUCCUAAGUAGAAAUGAGAUUCAACCCGUAAAGGACUUUCUUCACAUUGGGUGUAGUAGUUACACCUUUUUCCAAUUAGAGUCUAAAAGAAUCAGUUAAAAAAAUAGUUUUCAACCUCAUGCUUCAUAUAUAAGAGGCCUCAAAGCACAUGCUUAUUUUUUUUUAAAGCAACUUUUUUAAUUCCUUGUUUGGUAGGUUGGAUUAAACGGAAAGUAGGAAAUGAACGUUAGCAGAAGGCAGUUCCCCAUUUCCUUCCAGGAAUGACUUCCUCCUGGGAGUGGUGAGAAUUGGUGGGUGGUAACCAUCCAUAGUAUAAAAUUGUUAGAAAGAGUAUGAACUGCCAAACAACCGAGUUAUCUCCCAGCCCCUUUCCAAGCAAGAGUGAAGCCUUUUGAUAUUUAUAUUCCCCCUGGGAAGGCAAGCGAACUAGAAUUUGAGGAGCAGACCCAGGCUUGGUUGACGUGUUCUCUCAGGUGGUGGACUCUCACCUACGUGUGGUACAGCAGGACUUACAUUUAUAGCAUGGGACUUCAGGGUAUAUGCAGACAAGUCUAGAAUGACUCAGGUAACCCUUUGAGAAUCGUGAACUACCUGCCACUUUUGUAAAGAAGCAAAGCAGGGACUGAAUUGCUAACCAAAACUAUCCCAUUACCUUGGGCCACUGUGCAAACUCAUUCAGGGCGUAGACAUAAGAUUAAAAGCUCCAGAUCAAGUGGCAGCCUCUUUGCUCAUCCACUCACGGGAGUGCCAGCGUGUAGGUAGAGCUUUAGGCUCUGCCGUCCUUAGUACAGCUUUGGGAAGGCUGACCCUAGUCACGGUGAUUUCCAUUUAGGGGUUAUCAGGGAAUUGGUGAUAUGAGACCUCCAAGGACCCAGAAGGUCCUUCCCCUAAAUCAAAGAAAAAGGAAUGGAUAAGGAAAGAAAAUAGAAGGAGAAAGCCCUUGCAGAGUAGACCGGGUCAUGAGCUGUCUUUCCCCUUAAAACUCGCAGAGGUCUCCUCCUUCUUCAAUGCACUGCUCGGGAGUCACUUAUGGAGCAGCCAUCAGUGGGUGGCACGGGCUCUGUGACAUACCUCUAAGGUGAAAGACAAACUAUUCCUGAGGCUGAAAGCUAAAGUCAAGAAGUACUAACCCGCAGUGCACCCUCAGGACGACAAACCAUUGAUGCUGAUGAAGUUGUGUUUUCUUUCUUGGCUUUGCCAAUCGCUUCCUCCUUGGGUUGAGGACCCUUCUCAUCUCAUCGCCCCUGCACUUGCCCUGCCCUAACCGUUUACCAUGUUGGGUUGAGGACACCGAAUGUUACGGAUGGAGAACCUAAGGACGCGCAUAGUUCUCAUCUAUGCAAUUUAACUUGGUUCUGUCACUUCAUGAUCUGUUCAUAUUUAGCAUCCAUUAAAGAUAAUUUUUAAGGAUCUUA
rnacentral:lncRNA from 1 species